GGUCAAUGUCGCCGCGGCAUUUUUGCUGACUGUUGUCUCUCUCUCUUUGUUCUGUUUGAUAUCCCCACCAGGCGAGAAUGCCAAGUCUCGGGGGCUCUCGAUCGAGAAGAAGAUUGAGUUCCUGGAGAGUUUGACUGGAGGGGUGAGUGCAUUGAGUGAUGCGUGGAUGCGGAAUGACCUUAUGGAACUUCAUUUAAUUGCUAUCCAUCAUAAUCCCAUUCCUGCUUUGGGGUGUUCAUUCACCUGUUUACAAUAGGCUUGGGGUUUGGAGACUUUCUUGCUCUUGUUGGCUUAGAAGUUGAGUUGUGAUGCUGCAAAUGCAUGUAUCUCUUGAUCUACAUGUACAAUGUGUUAUGGGCAUGGAAGUUGCACAAGAAAGGGGAGCUAAUGAUCUUAGUGGUACAUCUCUGGAUGGGGAACAUCAUAGGUAAGAGGCAUGCCUAUUCAUGAAGAUUGGUCUUCUUUGAACACAGGGUAUACCAGGGCUUCAAACAUCCAUGUUGACUGUCGUGAAGAUGCUAAUGAGCUUAGCUAAGGUUAAUGACGGUGAAAUAUCGACACCUUGUCACUUUCAAAAUUCAUGGAUCUAAUUGCUGAUGAAGGUCUGAGAGGUCACUCAAAGGAUUCAUCCUCCACUUCAUCUGGGGAAGUCAAGCAAGCCAGACAAAUCAUCUUUGUGGUCAAAAGACAUGGCAGCUUAUGUGCUACAAUGACCUUUAAUUCUAUCUAUGAGAGGAGCAUUUGAACUUUUAUGUACGCUUUGCAUGUAAACAGAGAAUAGAUAUUUGAGAAACUGUGUUGUAUCAAGGUUUGUUGUACAUA